CGGCGGACGGGUGAGUAAUGUCUGGGAAACUGCCUGAUGGAGGGGGAUAACUACUGGAAACGGUAGCUAAUACCGCAUAACGUCGCAAGACCAAAGAGGGGGACCUUCGGGCCUCUUGCCAUCAGAUGUGCCCAGAUGGGAUUAGCUAGUAGGUGGGGUAACGGCUCACCUAGGCGACGAUCCCUAGCUGGUCUGAGAGGAUGACCAGCCACACUGGAACUGAGACACGGUCCAGACUCCUACGGGAGGCAGCAUG
rnacentral:rRNA from 1 species